ensembl:lncRNA
AAUCUUUUGCUCAAACAAGGUGCACCUCACUGGUGGGCUUGGGGGGGGGGGGGGUCCCUAGAGAUGGGCUUUACCCCUCAUGGGAGGAUAAGGAUGAAGAGGAUAAUGAUACCCUCUGUGUUACGCACAUCUAGACUCAUCCUGUGUUGCCAUCCCUUCUCUUCUAUACCAACCACAUCUCCUUUGAGCUCAACAGAUUUCCGUUCUAAAUAUUGCGAUGACGUGUGUAUUGUUAUUAUGUGUGUGUCCUGUACAUGCCCCCUCUAUCCACGAGGUGCGUCAUAACCCAUGCUUCUCCCUCCCUUAUGCCGUAUGCCCUCCUGACCCCCCAUACAUAAAGCACCUAAAAUAACAAUACUAAGGAAAUUAAAUGAACGAUUGAACCAAUGAGAGGACCAGGUAUACAACUCCUUCAUUGUCCGGGUGUACACCCCCACUCCUGUGUGUGUGUGUGUGUGUGUGUGUGUGUGUGUGUGUGUGUGUGUGUGUGUGUGUGUGUGUGUGUGUGUGUGUGUGUGUGUGUGUGUGUGUGUGUGUGUGUGUGUGUGUGUGUGUGUGUGUUAUACCCUACACAUGUGCGACGGUUGGUAAUGCGGUCCUGAUUUGCAUUGUAGUGAAAAUCUGACCGCUGAUAUGAUGGAAUAUUUGCAUUCGUAUAUAUAGUAUGUGAAGGAAUGAAUGAGUGUGUGCUGGCUCACUUCUCGUCCAGCCCGGGAUUGUUUGGCAAAUGGCGGCAAAGCGCUUGUCUUUGAUAAGAUGUUCCCGCCUCUUCGAGGGCAGUUAGCAGUUAAUCGCACCGGUUUUGUUUGGCCAUACCCUUUGAUAAAAGUGUUCUGUGUAGCUCAGGUCAUACCAUAUAGAUAGAUGGAUAGAAGAGUUAUUACAUACACACACACACGCGUUAUUGAAUGCAGAUGCGUGCAUACCCAGGCUUCUUCCUUCUACCACUUCUUCGCUCCCAUCUCUCUCUGUGAUUUAUCUGGCUGCUUUCUAAACAAGUUGUCC